GACGAACGCUGGCGGCGUGCUUAACACAUGCAAGUCGAACGGCAAGGCCCUGCUUUUGUGGGGUGCUCGAGUGGCGAACGGGUGAGUAACACGUGAGUAACCUGCCCUUGACUUUGGGAUAACUUCAGGAAACUGGGGCUAAUACCGGAUAGGAGCUCCUGCUGCAUGGUGGGGGUUGGAAAGUUUCGGCGGUUGGGGAUGGACUCGCGGCUUAUCAGCUUGUUGGUGGGGUAGUGGCUUACCAAGGCUUUGACGGGUAGCCGGCCCGAGAGGGUGACCGGCCACAUUGGGACUGCGAUACGGCCCAGACUCCUACGGUAGGCAGCAGUGGGGAAUAUUGCACAAUGGGCGGAAGCCUGAUGCAGCAACGCCGCGUGCGGGAUGACGGCCUUCGGGUUGUAAACCGCUUUCGCCUGUGACGAAGCGUGAGUGACGGUAAUGGGUAAAGAAGCACCGGCUAACUACGUG
rnacentral:rRNA from 1 species